GAGCCAGUAGCUCAGUUGGUAGAGCAUCGGACUUUUAAUCCGGUGGUCGAGGGUUCGAGUCCCUCCUGGCUCA
rnacentral:tRNA from 3 species